GCCCGGGUGGCGAAAUUGGUAGACGCAAGGGACUUAAAAUCCCUCGGAGGUAACUCCGUGCCGGUUCAAGUCCGGCCCCGGGCACCA
rnacentral:tRNA from 3 species